rnacentral:misc_RNA from 1 species
UUGAUAUUGCUGGUGUUGAAACUGUUGGUGAUUCUGCAUCAAAUUCCUCUGCACAUACUGCUGCUGCGGAACCCUCGACUGAAAACUGGGGUUCGCGUUCAUACCGGCGCCUCUACCAGCACUGAUCCCUGGCGGAUACCGCCCUCUAUUAUAAUUGUUCAUCACUAACAACCUUAGCUAUAACUACCUAGCCGAUUCAAACCCAAAAUUUGUGCAAAAACU